UACGUAGGUGACCAGCGUUGUCCGGAUUUACUGGGCGUAAAGAGCGCGCAGGCGGUCGUUCAAGUCGAGUGUGAAAGCCCCCGGCUCAACUGGGGAGGGUCAUUCGAUACUGAUCGACUCGAAGGCAGGAGAGGGAAGUGGAAUUCCCGGUGUAGUGGUGAAAUGCGUAGAUAUCAGGAGGAACACCGGUGGCGAAAGCGCUCAUCUGGCCCAAUACUGACGCUGAGGCGCGAAAGCUAGGGGAGCAAACGGG
rnacentral:rRNA from 1 species